rnacentral:rRNA from 1 species
AUGACCCAGGUAGACGCCUGCAAUGGCCUCCUUCUCUACCGCGGCAACAACAACAAGUUGGUCGCUUGGAAUUGGGCAAAGGACGAUUUCCGUUUUGUCGUGUGCAAUCCGGUCACCGGGAGGUGGGUAGAGCUGCCCCCUUCACCGCAGUCACCGGAAAACAGAUUUAGCUGUAUUGCAUGUCUGGCUUUUGAUCCCGCAGUCUCAUCCCAUUUCUACGUUCUUCAAUUCAAGCAGACCUUUCAGGGAUCUUACAUCACAGCAGUGAACAUCUACUCGUCGCGGACAAGAGCCUGGACUCGCAGGGAUAUUGGGAUGGUUGAGAAAGUGGUGCUGUUCUAUCUUACUAGAUGUGUAUUUGUUGGCGGUAUGAUGUAUCUGAUGGGCAUCCAUAAAGGCAUUAAUGAAGAGAAUGUGCUGGUGGGUGUGGACAUGGAGGGACAGUGCGCCAUGGCGCACUGUUCCACGUAG